rnacentral:rRNA from 1 species
GUAGGGAAUUUUCGGCAAUGGGGGGAACCCUGACCGAGCAACGCCGCGUGAACGAAGAAGUAUUUCGGUAUGUAAAGUUCUUUUAUUGGUGAAGAAAGAGGAAUUUGACGGUAGCCAAUGAAUAAGCUCCGGCUAACUACGUGCCAGCAGCCGCGGUAAUACGUAGGGAGCGAGCGUUAUCCGGAAUUAUUGGGCGUAAAGGGUGCGUAGAUGGGGAUUUAAGUCUUUUGUAAAAGAUCUAGGCUCAACCUAGUAGAGCAAAAGAUACUGAAUGUCUAGAGUACGGAAGAGGCAAGUGGAACUACAUGUGUAGCGGUAAAAUGCGUAAAUAUAUGUAAGAACACCAGUGGCGAAGGCGGCUUGCUGGGCCUGUACUGACAUUGAGGCACGAAAGCGUGGGGAGCAAACAGGAUUAGAAACCCUAGUAGUCC